UUAUAUUUUAUUGUUUAAUGCAUUUAAGUUUUUGAUUCUUAAGGAUUAGUUUAAUUCUAAAAAUAUAAU
rnacentral:tRNA from 1 species